rnacentral:rRNA from 1 species
UACGGAGGGUGCGAGCGUUGUCCGGAAUCACUGGGCGUAAAGGGCGCGUAGGCGGCCUGAUAAGUAGGGGGUGAAAUCCUGCGGCUUAACCGCAGGGCUGCCUUCUAAACUGUCAGGCUUGAGCACAGUAGAGGCAGGUGGAAUUCCCGGUGUAGCGGUGGAAUGCGUAGAGAUCGGGAAGAACACCGGUGGCGAAGGCGGAUUUCUGGGCCAUUACUGACGCUGAGGAGCGAAAGCGUGGGGAGCGAACAGG